ensembl:snRNA U6 U6 spliceosomal RNA
GUGCUCAUUUCGGCAACGUGUAUACUAAAAUUGGAGCAAUUCAGGAAAGAUUCGCAUGGCCCCUGUGCAAGGAGGACUCACGAAGCAUUUCAUAUUUCU